rnacentral:hammerhead_ribozyme from 1 species
GCACUGCUGACGAGUCCUAAACAGGACGAAACAGCUGUUCAGUGC